UACAGAGACUGCAAGCGUUGUUCGGAAUUACUGGGCGUAAAGGGCGCGUAGGCGGCUCUGUUAGUCAGGCGUGAAAGCCCUGGGCUCAACCUGGGAAUUGCAUUGGAUACUGGCAGGCUAGAGUGCGGUAGAGGAUGGCGGAAUUCCCGGUGUAGCAGUGAAAUGCGUAGAGAUCGGGAGGAACAUCUGUGGCGAAGGCGGCCAUCUGGACCAGCACUGACACUGAGGCACGAAAGCGUGGGGAGCAAACAGG
rnacentral:rRNA from 1 species